UGCAGUCGAGCGAGAAAGGGGGCUUCGGCCCCUCAGUACAGCGGCGAACGGGUGCGUAACACGUGGGUGAUCUGUCCUCGAGACGGGGAUAACCCAGCGAAAGUUGGGCUAAUACCGGAUAAGACCACAAGAGGAAACUCUCGGGGUCAAAGGGUGCUUCCUUUUGGGGGCAUUCGCUGGAGGAGGAGCCCGCGUCCCAUCAGCUUGUUGGUAGGGUAACGGCCUACUAAGGCAAAGACGGGUAGCUGGUCUGAGAGGAUGACCAGCCACACGGGGACUGAGAUACGGCCCCGACUCCUACGGGAGGCAGCAGUGGGGAAUAUUGGGCAAUGGGGGAAACCCUGACCCAGCGACGCCGCGUGGGUGAUGAAGGCCUUCGGGUCGUAAAGCCCUGUCGGGAGGGACGAAUGAUCCUGUGGCAAAUAGCCGCGGGAUGUGACGGUACCUCCGAAGGAAGCACCGGCCAACUCCGUGCCAGCAGCCGCGGUAAGACGGAGGGUGCAAGCGUUGUCCGGAAUUAUUGGGCGUAAAGAGCUCGUAGGCGGUCUGUCGCGUCGGCUGUGAAAUCCCGGGGCUCAACUCCGGGCUUGCAGUCGAUACGGGCAGGCUAGAGUUCGGCAGGGGAGACUGGAAUUCCUGGUGUAGCGGUGAAAUGCGCAGAUAUCAGGAGGAACACCGGUGGCGAAGGCGGGUCUCUGGGCCGAUACUGACGCUGAGGAGCGAAAGCGUGGGGAGCGAACAGGAUUAGAUACCCUGGUAGUCCACGCCGUAAACGUUGGGCGCUAGGUGUGGGAUCCCUUCCACGGGUUCCGUGCCGCAGCUAACGCAUUAAGCGCCCCGCCUGGGGAGUACGGCCGCUAGACUAAAACUCAAAUGAAUUGACGGGG
rnacentral:rRNA from 1 species